UAAUCAUAUACUAGUUAAUCUAGUUGUAGAAGUAGCUUAACACUUCCCUCCUGAAAAGUAGUAUAUUCCAAGAGUUAAGAAGGUUAAAAACCAGAAUCAGGUAGGGAACAGCUACAUAUAUGUUCAAAAUAAAUUACCAAUGAUUAUUCUUUCUCUUUGUUUUAUCAGGGAGCCAAUAAACACAUACUAGAUUCAGUCUCGGCCUCUGUUGGCAAGAAGUGAAAGCCUUGCAGUUUGUGCAUCAAAUCUUGCCAGAAAGAGGUGGCACCAAAAUAACAGACACCACACACCGCUGCGUUCACACCUUCUGAGGCGUGGGCAGAUCUGCAGCAUUUUCAACAAUGGUCUCCUGUUUUUUAUUGAUAAUCUUUUGCAUUUUUUUUAAUUAAACAAAGCUGAACAUUAUCAACAUAACGAAAGUAGGUGGCGGCGUGCGUCGCCGUUACUGCCCCCAUUUUUACCCCUCUCCCAUUCUCGCACCCUAACUUAAUUCAAUUUACACAUAAGUAAGUUAGCCAAGCCAUAUCCUCCUUGCCAUACACGUCUUCUUAUUUCAGUACAUUUCUUACAGGCAAUUUUGUCUGACAACUCUUGAGAACACUAGUCAGCGGUUUUUUGAACGUGGUAUCCUUAAAUAAUAUUUUUUUUCCCUUAAACUUUAACGGUGAAAUUGUAAUCUGUUUCCAUUUCCUUAAUCUCAGUUUUGUAUUGUGUGCUCAUGAACAAUAUCAACUAAAACGCAAACUCGCAAGGGACUGCCUUAAAGUAAUAUCUUAAUGGCCACACAAAUAUAAUGUUGAUGUUCGGCCAUAAGACAAAAAACAUUAUGGACGGACCACAAGGUGCAUGCCAAGAAAGCUGCGGAAAACGAGUGGCUCAGCGAUACAGUGUUGGACACGAGACAGGGAGGAAAAGGUUCGUGGUUCUAUCAGUGACAGGUGCUCCCUGAAGGAGUCCCCGCCCUUGUCAUCACGGGGAAGAGGAGGGAGACGGGCUGCCUGAUGGAUCUACUUAUUGCUGUCUUAUUUUAUUUUCGCUUAAUAAACCAUUUCAUGUUA